ACCUGGUGAGGUUGAGAGUACCUGAAGAAUAAGCACCGGCUAACUACGUGCCAGCAGCCGCGGUAAUACGUAGGGUGCAAGCGUUAAUCGGAAUUACUGGGCGUAAAGCGUGCGCAGGCGGACUUUUAAGCCAGAUGUGAAAGCCCCGAGCUUAACUUGGGAAUUGCGUUUGGAACUGGGAGUCUAGAGUCUGUCAGAGGGGGAUGGAAUUCCACGUGUAGCAGUGAAAUGCGUAGAGAUGUGGAGGAACACCGAUGGCGAAGGCAGUCCCCUGGGAUAAGACUGACGCUCAUGCACGAAAGCGUGGGGAGCAAACAGGAUUAGAUACCCUGGUAGUCCACGCCCUAAACGAUGUCUACUAGUUGUUGGGGUAGCAAUACCUCAGUGACGCAGCUAACGCGUGAAGUAGACCGCCUGGGGAGUACGGUCGCAAGAUUAAAACUCAAAGGAAUUGACGGGG
rnacentral:rRNA from 1 species